rnacentral:rRNA from 1 species
AAGGGAUACCAGAAGUAGGUAGCUCAACCGCAAGGAAAGCGCUUACCACGGUAUGUUUCAUGACUGGGGUGAAGUCGUAACAAGGUUUCCGUAGGUGAACCUGCAGAAGGAUCA